rnacentral:rRNA from 1 species
UACGGCGGGGGCAAGCGUUGUUCGGAUUCAUUGGGCUUAAAGCGUGCGUAGGCGGGUCAUUAAGUCAGGGGUGAAAGCCGAGGGCUCAACUGUCGAACUGCCAUUGAUACUGAUGAGCUUGAGCAUGAUCGAGGUGGGUGGAAGUUCGGGUGUAGAGGUGAAAUGCGUAGAUAUCAUCAGGAACACCGGUAGUGAAGGCAGUUUGCCAGGCUACAGCUGACGCUGAGGCACGAAAGCGUGGGGAGCAAACAGG